rnacentral:rRNA from 1 species
GACGAACCGUGCGAACGUUAUUCGGAUUUAUUGGGCUUAAAGAGUGCGUAGGUGGCAGUGUAAGUCGGGGGUGAAAUACUAUCGGCUCAACCGUGGAAUUGCCUUCGAUACUGCAUUGCUUGAGGGGGAUAGGGGCAAGUGGAACUUCCGGUGGAGCGGUGCAAUGUGUUGAGAUCGGAAGGAACGCCAGUGGCGAAAGCGACUUGCUGGGUCUUCUCUGACACUGAGGCACGAAAGCUAGGGGAGCAAACGGG